CCCCGUGGCCUUCACCUCCGCCUCUCAGCGACGUCCCGGGCCUGGCCCCCCCCCAGCACACCGCAGCUUGUGGCCUCUGCUGUAGCGAGAAAUCACUAUUUCACAUAAGCUGCCGCCCUUCGAAGGUUUGAACCUCCUUGUGGCAAGUAGGGGUUUCCUGGGUUUCCGUGGUCUAUUUUUCAAGACCCAGGGGCUCGAUUCUUUAUUCCUCACAUACCCAGAGCGCCCCUAACUGUGAGGAUUGUGUAUCUUAUGCUUUAGGCGCCUAGGAGCAAGAAAACAGCAGUGGAGGAGCAGUUAGUACAAGAGGUGGAGCGCCUAAAGGCAAAGGUAGAGGCCGGGAAAGCCUGUUUCUUAGAGAAGUACAAAGAGUGUCAGCGACUCCACAGGCAGAUCAGGCAACUCAGGGCGGCUGCGCAACUGGAAGUGAAGCAGGACCCGAAGAGCCAGCAAGAGCCCAUGGGGAUGGGGAGCCGGGAGCCUGCAGUCAGCUCUGUCAUCGGGUAGCCCCUCUCGCAUUCCUACCUCAGGGUCGGCUAGAAGCGCACAGCAGUUUGGGCACCAGCGUUCAAAUAAAAAAUCUUGGAAAAAAAAAAA